AGCACACCCAGCUCAUUUCAGGCAGGGCUGGCAUGCUCAAGGAUUUCUGCGCAGAGCUCAUUUGUUAGCGUUGAGGUUGUCCGUGGAGCUGCAGCUUUUAUUUGCUCUAUGAUAAUGAGAGGUGCCUCUGGGUGGAUAAAUGUGGGCUCCAAGUGGGUGAUGCUGGGCGGUCUUCUGAACAAGAAGUUGGCUGGGGUGGGGGUGGGGGCUUAGUUUCCAGCUCAGGUGAGGCAAGGAAGCCUCAGUCCUGAGAGCCUGGACCAGCUUUAGAAAACUGCCACUGAGCAAGACCCGAUGGCGCCCCCUUCUUGCUCUGGCUCUCAGUUCAUGAAUGCACAUGACUCCAGUCUCUGCUGGGUGCAUUCGCAGGUGACCCCGCACGCUGGGCCUCAGAGUCUGGAGCUACGUGGGGUCUUGGCAUCGUGACCCAGCAUCAAGGACUCUCCUAGUUCUCUGUAAAAUGAUCUUGUCUGUGUGUGUUUCUCAAACCCCUUUCCCUUUAUCUUGUCAUUUUUAUUAGUAGUAUUUCUACUCUGGAAUCUGUAAUGAGCACAUUUCUAUUGCCAUAGAGAAAUUUGGCUAAUUUUUUUUUCUUCCUGAUUUCCUUAGAAAUCCUAAGUAAUGCACUGAAGAGAGGAGAGAUCAUUGCAAAGCAGGGAGGAGGUGGAGGUGGAGGAAGCGUCCCUGGGAUCGAGAGGAUGGGUCCUGGCAUUGACCGCCUCGGGGGUGCUGGCAUGGAGCGCAUGGGCGCGGGCCUGGGCCAUGGCAUGGAUCGCGUGGGCUC
rnacentral:sRNA from 1 species